UGUACCCUUACCCUUGUUUCAUACGUAUCUUUGUCACCACCAAAGCAAGUUCUCUGUAAUUCAUAUGCCUUAAGACAGAUUGCAACAGAUCAGGCUUCUGCAAGAUCUGAUGGUGGAUAGAAUAGUUGAUUUGAUACUUAUAUGUGGAACUUCCAAAAGUAAUUUACUAGUUAGAUAUUCUAUCUAUAUCAAUACUAUCCAUAUUGAUAUUUUUUCUUUCUUUUCAGUUACUAUUUUAAUUUGUGAUGAUGCAAUUUCAGUUGAGUUCCUUACUGUAUGACGUUGGCUUGAACAUUCAAGAAGCGCAUGCUUUUUCCACUACAGAUGGCUACUCUUUGUUUUUUUUUUGUUGUUGAUGGCUGGGCACUUGAGGGUGUGUACAAGUGUAGGAGAUGUUAGAGCAGUUACUAAUAUUUACCCGAGGGGGAUUAAUCCUCUAGACAUGUAAAGAGCUUGGAAAUGUUCUUAGGGGAUCACCAAUUGACACCUUGAUCAGGUCUUGUCUUUUGCAAGAACGACAAGGAGGUGGAAAUUUCUGGCUUUAGAUUUCUGGCCAAACAGGAGCUCACAGGAAGAUUUCAAAGGUUGUUGUAAACUGAUUUUAGGAGAUUGGUUUUCUUAAUUUCUUGGAGAGGAGGGAUAUUUUUUAGGAUGGCUAAUAAUGAAGAGACAGGUAGCCCAGGUUGGGGUGCUUCGUUUGAGGUUACCCUCCAGAAAAGCAGCUGCCUCUUAAAUACAAAGAUCUUUCAUUUUGCAUCCCUGGAGGCUUGGAGGUUGGGUGUAUGCUUUUUGGGUCAAUUUUUGGAAUGAUCAGUUUGUGUAUUUGAAAGUUAGGAGCUAUAUUUCUUAUUGCUCAUGACUUCUAGUUGUUCAGCUGCUGUGGAAUCAUAACUUUAGUUAUCUCGAGCGAUUUGACUAUAAAUAGGCUUGAUGUAAUUCUCAUAACUGUUAUAUAAUAACAUCUAUUAU